rnacentral:lncRNA from 1 species
GAGGAGGGUGCGCUUCUUCAGCCUGGGAUGGGGGUUUGGGUGAGGAGGAGGAGGAGGAGGAGGAGGAGGAGGAGGGUUGUGCUUCCUCCGCCUGGGAUGUUGGAUGGUUGGAACGUGCUGCCUGAGCGGGGUGGAAAGGAGCGGGGAAAGGGAGACGAGGGGAUGCUUCCUCCUCUCCUCCUCCUCGCUUCCUCCUUUCUUCCUUGCCUCUUCUUACCUCUUCCUCACCUCCUCCUCCUAGUCUCUUCUUCUUCUUCCUCCUCACCACAUCCUCCUCCUCCUCUCCUUCCUCAUCUUUUCCUUCGUGCUUCCUUCUUGCCUCUUCCUUUUACUCCUUCUCACUCCUCCUUUUUCCUUCUUCCUCUUUUUCCCAUUCUUCUUUCCUCUUCUUUCCUCUUCUUCUUCUUCCUCCUCCUCUUCUGCUUCCUCCUCCUCCUCCUCGGUGCCUCUGAAGGAGCAGACUCGGAGAGCUGAUAAGGCCAGAGCCAGGGCGGGGCUGGAGCAGCGACCGAGGAGAAAUCACGUGAAAUUGGGGUGGGAAAACUGAAAUAGGGUAAAAUGAGGCGGGGGGGCGAAGGUUGGGAUCCAAAUGUGUAACGGGAAAGUGAUGGAGGAAAGAUUGGCUGGAGAAGGAAGGGAGGGAAGAAGGGUUGAGAUUAAAAAUUAUGCAAAGAAAAAUGAUGGAAGAAGGGCUGAGAUGUCCGGAAAGUGUUGGAAUGAAAAGUGGAAAAUAAAGGAAAAAAAGAGCAGGGAAGAAGGAAAAAG